rnacentral:rRNA from 1 species
UACGUAGGCAGCAAGCGUUGUUCGGAAUUACUGGGCGUAAAGAGUGUGUAGGCGGUGCUCUAAGUUUGUCGUGAAAUCUCCCGGCUUAACUGGGAGGGUGCGGCGAAAACUGGAGUGCUAGAGGGUGGGAGAGGAAAGCGGAAUUCCUGGUGUAGCGGUGAAAUGCGUAGAUAUCAGGAGGAACACCGGUGGCGAAGGCGGGUCUCUGGGCCGAUACUGACGCUGAGGAGCGAAAGCGUGGGGAGCGAACAGG